CCUACGGGAGGCAGCAGUGGGGAAUAUUGCACAAUGGGGGAAACCCUGAUGCAGCGACGCCGCGUGAGUGAAGAAGUAUUUCGGUAUGUAAAGCUCUAUCAGCAGGGAAGAAAAUGACGGUACCUGAUUAAGAAGCCCCGGCUAACUACGUGCCAGCAGCCGCGGUCAUACGUCGGGGGCAAGCGUUAUCCGGAUUUACUGGGUGUAAAGGGAGCGUAGACGGGAGCACAAGUCUGGAGUGAAAUGCCGGGGCUUAACCCCGGAACUGCUUUGGAAACUGUGCAGCUAGAGUGCAGGAGAGGUAAGUGGAAUUCCUAGUGUAGCGGUGAAAUGCGUAGAUAUUAGGAGGAACACCAGUGGCGAAGGCGGCGUACUGGACUGUAACUGACGUUGAGGCUCGAAAGCGUGGGGAGCAAACAGGAUUAGAUACCCGUGUAGUC
rnacentral:rRNA from 1 species